GACGAACGCUGGCGGCGUGCUUAACACGUGCAAGUCGAACGGAAAGGCUCCAGCUUGCUGGAGUACUCGAGUGGCGAACGGGUGAGUAACACGUGGGUAAUCUGCCCUGCACUCUGGGAUAAGCCUGGGAAACUGGGUCUAAUACUGGAUAUGACCUUUCUCCUUAUGGGGUUUGGUGGAAAGUUUUUCGGUGCAGGAUGAGCCCGCGGCCUAUCAGCUUGUUGGUGGGGUGAUGGCCUACCAAGGCGACGACGGGUAGCCGGCCUGAGAGGGUGAUCGGCCACAUUGGGACUGAGAUACGGCCCAGACUCCUACGGGAGGCAGCAGUGGGGAAUAUUGCACAAUGGGCGGAAGCCUGAUGCAGCGACGCCGCGUGAGGGAUGACGGCCUUCGGGUUGUAAACCUCUUUCAGCAGGGACGAAGCGUAAGUGACGGUACCUGCAGAAGAAGCACCGGCUAACUACGUG
rnacentral:rRNA from 1 species